UACGAAAGGUGCAAGCGUUGUUCGGAAUCAUUGGGCGUAAAGCGCACGUAGGCGGGGCUGUGUGUCGAUUGUGAAAGCCCAGGGCUCAACCCUGGAAUUGCAGUCGAAACUGCGGCUCUUGAAUACUUGAGAGGGUGGGGGAAUUCCUGGUGAAGCAGUGAAAUGCGUAGAUAUCAGGAGGAACAUCGGAGGCGAAGGCGCCUACCUGGCAAGAUAUUGACGCUGAGGUGCGAAAGCGUGGGGAGCAAACAGG
rnacentral:rRNA from 1 species